rnacentral:rRNA from 1 species
UAGGGAAUCUUCCACAAUGGACGCAAGUCUGAUGGAGCAACGCCGCGUGUGUGAAGAAGGUUUUCGGAUCGUAAAGCUCUGUUGUUGGUGAAGAAGGAUAGAGGUAGUAACUGGCCUUUAUUUGACGGUAAUCAACCAGAAAGUCACGGCUAACUACGUGCCAGCAGCCGCGGUAAUACGUAGGUGGCAAGCGUUGUCCGGAUUUAUUGGGCGUAAAGCGAGCGCAGGCGGAAGAAUAAGUCUGAUGUGAAAGCCCUCGGCUUAACCGAGGAACUGCAUCGGAAACUGUUUUUCUUGAGUGCAGAAGAGGAGAGUGGAACUCAAUGUGUAGCGGUGGAAUGCGUAGAUAUAUGGAAGAACACCAGAGGCGAAGGCGAUUCUCAGGACUGCAACUGACGCUGAGGCUCGAAAGCAUGGGUAGCGAACAGG